UGGGGAAUCUUGGACAAUGGGCGAAAGCCUGAUCCAGCAAUGCCGCGUGAGUGAUGAAGGCCUUAGGGUUGUAAAGCUCUUUUUACCAGGGAUGAUAAUGACAGUACCUGGAGAAUAAGCUCCGGCUAACUCCGUGCCAGCAGCCGCGGUAAUACGGAGGGAGCUAGCGUUGUUCGGAAUUACUGGGCGUAAAGCGUACGUAGGCGGUGACUCAAGUCAGAGGUGAAAGCCUGGAGCUCAACUCCAGAACUGCCUUUGAAACUAGGUCGCUAGAAUCACGGAGAGGUGAGUGGAAUUCCGAGUGUAGAGGUGAAAUUCGUAGAUAUUCGGAAGAACACCAGUGGCGAAGGCGGCUCACUGGACGUGUAUUGACGCUGAGGUACGAAAGCGUGGGGAGCAAACAGGAUUAGAUACCCCUGUAGUCCCUGAGCGGGCUGGCAAGGCGCAU
rnacentral:rRNA from 1 species